rfam:Myotis brandtii contig250055, whole genome shotgun sequence.
GAGACACCUUUAUGGGGCAGGACUUGCUUCAGUGGGGCUUUGGUGCUCACUGAGUCUUCCCCUCGAGUGUGUCACU